rnacentral:rRNA from 1 species
CCUACACGACCGUACCGCAAACCGACACUGGUGCGCGAGAUGAGUAUUCUCAGGCGCUUGAGAGAACUCGGGAGAAGGAACUCGGCAAAUUGACACCGUAACUUCGGAAGAAGGUGUGCCUUUAGUAGGUGAAGUCCCUCGCGGAUGGAGCCCAAUGAGGUUGCAAAGAAUCGGUGGCUGCGACUGUUUAAUAAAAACACAGCACUCUGCAAACACGAAAGUGGACGUAUAGGGUGUGACGCCUGCCCGGUGCUGGAAGAUUAAGUGAUGGGGUGCAAGCUCUUGAUCGAAGUCCCAGUAAACGGCGGCCGUAACAAUAACGGUCCUAAGGUAGCGAAAUUCCUUGUCGGGUAAGUUCCGACCUGCACGAAUGGCGUAACGAUGGCCACACUGUCUCCUCCCGAGACUCAGCGAAGUUGAAAUGUUUGUGAUGAUGCAAUCUCCCCGCGGAAAGACGGAAAGACCCCAUGAACCUUUACUGUAGCUUUGUAUUGGACUUUGAACGGAUCUGUGUAGGAUAGGUGGGAGGCUUUGAAGCCGGGUCGCUAGAUCUGGUGGAGCCAACGUUGAAAUACCACCCUGGUGCGUUUGAGGUUCUAACCUAGGCCCGUUAUCCGGGCCGGGGACAGUGCAUGGUAGGCAGUUUGACUGGGGCGGUCUCCUCCCAAAGCGUAACGGAGGAGUUCGAAGGUACGCUAGUUACGGUCGGACAUCGUGACGAUAGUGCAAUGGCAUAAGCGUGCUUAACUGCGAGACUGACAAGUCGAGCAGAUGCGAAAGCAGGACAUAGUGAUCCGGUGGUUCUGUAUGGAAGGGCCAUCGCUCAACGGAUAAAAGGUACUCUGGGGAUAACAGGCUGAUACCGCCCAAGAGUUCAUAUCGACGGCGGUGUUUGGCACCUCGAUGUCGGCUCAUCUCAUCCUGGGGCUGUAGCCGGUCCCAAGGGUAUGGCUGUUCGCCAUUUAAAGAGGUACGUGAGCUGGGUUUAAAACGUCGUGAGACAGUUUGGUCCCUAUCUUCCGUGGGCGCUGCAGAUUUGAGGAAGCCUGCUCCUAGUACGAGAGGACCGGAGUGGACGCACCUCUGGUGUACCUGUUGUCACGCCAGUGGCAUUGCAGGGUAGCUAAGUGCGGAAGAGAUAACCGCUGAAAGCAUCUAAGCGGGAAACUCGUUUCAAGAUGAGAUCUGCCGGGGCCUUGAGCCCCCUGAAGAGUCGUUCUAGACCAGGACGUUGAUAGGUCAGGUGUGGAAGCGCAGUAAUGCGUUAAGCUAACUGAUACUAAUUGCUCGUGCGGCUUGACC